CCCUUCUCAUACGUAACACCGCACGCCCCCGUCACGUGAUCUGGCGCUAUCACCACGGGUGCCCUCGCCGGAACCGGUCGCUCCAGGGUUUGGUUGAUGGCCCUCGAGGACGGUAGCGGGUUGACGGUGACGGGAGAAGGUUUUGGAGUCUCGGCACAGACGGUGGCGCCCAUUGGUGCCCACCCGCCCGUGGCUGCUGUUGGGUUUCCAAUGAGUCCCUCCGAGCACUAGAGUCACCUUUCUAUGAGAGUGAGAGAGAGAGAGUACUCUCUGUGAGGAAUAAUACAUUGCCUUUGAUGUGAAUGCAAUUUAGUAGGCAAACUCUCCAUCCCAACUGGCCAUGAUAAUCCAUGACUCAGAAAGUAAUUGCAAAAGGAAUCCCAUGUUUCCAGUUCUAGAUGUGUGUCUUGUGAAUCUUUUGGCAGUCCAUUGAGAGGCCUAACUUUCCUCUAUUACUUGAACAAAAAUGUUAUCCUCCAACACAAUGCAACUGUCAUAUUAGUAUACUUAAACCUUCUACCUCCUUUGUGUUCCCUUAUAAGUACCUCCCAACCCUCCAUAAGCUCUCCUCAUCCCUGCAAUCUUUCUGUUGCAACAACACUUAAGAAGAGCUUCCUUGCACACGAUGAGGUCAUUCCUUCUGAUAAUAUUCUUGAUGGCUUUAACCACUUCUCUUGCCGCAGCAGAUACUCACAAAGGCGAGCAGGAUCAGACGACUUCAUUCUCCGACGAAGCUAGUCACAUGCUGGGUCGGCACAGAUGGAGAGGUUCCUUGUCGUGCAAGGAGCACCGAAACCUGUGCAAACUCCCAAGAAGUCCCGGCCCGACCUGCUGCGGGAACCUUUGCGUGGACCUGAAGACUGACUUGUUCAAUUGUGGCCGCUGCGGGGUGCAGUGCAAGUUUGCCGAGGUUUGCUGCAAAGGUAAAUGCCUGAAUCCGUUUCACGACGAUGAGAACUGCGGCGGGUGUGGCAAGAAGUGCAGCAAGGGAAGCCAUUGCAGAUAUGGGAUGUGCAGCUAUGCGUAGAAGCCGGCUGAUGAGUGUUGGGUUUGAUCAUUGAACUGUGUUGUUGCUGUUGCUUGUGGCUGAAGCCCUGGUUUAAUAAUGUUCACCACGUCCUUAGUUGUAUUCAUUGCGAAGAUAAAUAUCAAGGAACAUCUGCAUUGUUGUGUCCAUGAACAACAUUAGUUUGCUCUCAGUGAUAGAACAUUGACCAGAAAGAUCUGCAAUCUUUGUUGUUAACAGAAUAUGUCUACAACAACAACAACAA